UGCGUAGGCGGCUCAGAAAGUAGGGUGUGAAAGCCCUCGGCUCAACCGAGGAAUUGCGCCCUAAACUACUGGGCUCGAGGAACGCAGAGGUAAGCGGAACUUACGGUGGAGCGGUGAAAUGCGUUGAUAUCGUAAGGAACACCAGGAGCGAAAGCGGCUUACUGGGCGUUUUCUGACGCUGAUGCACGAAAGCUAGGGGAGCGAACGGGAUUAGAUACCCCGGUAGUCCUAGCCGUAAACGAUGAGCACUGGAUUGGAGGCCCCCCCAUAGGCUUCUAGUCGUAGCGAAAGUGUUAAGUGCUCCGCCUGGGGAGUAUGGUCGCAAGGCUGAA
rnacentral:rRNA from 1 species